CUGAUGUUAGCGGCGGACGGGUGAGUAACACGUGGGUAACCUACCUAUAAGACUGGGAUAACUCCGGGAAACCGGGGCUAAUACCGGAUAAUAUUUUGAACCGCAUGGUUCAAUAGUGAAAGACGGUUUCGGCUGUCACUUAUAGAUGGACCCGCGCCGUAUUAGCUAGUUGGUAAGGUAACGGCUUACCAAGGCGACGAUACGUAGCCGACCUGAGAGGGUGAUCGGCCACACUGGAACUGAGACACGGUCCAGACUCCUACGGGAGGCAGCAGC
rnacentral:rRNA from 1 species